UGAGGGAAAGGCGAAAAGAACCCCGGCGAGGGGAGUGAAAAAGAACCUGAAACCGUGUACGUACAAGCAGUGGGAGCACAGAGCAAUCUGUGUGACUGCGUACCUUUUGUAUAAUGGGUCAGCGACUUAUAUUCUGUAGCAAGGUUAACCGAAUAGGGGAGCCGAAGGGAAACCGAGUCUUAACUGGGCGUUAAGUUGCAGGGUAUAGACCCGAAACCCGGUGAUCUAGCCAUGGGCAGGUUGAAGGUUGGGUAACACUAACUGGAGGACCGAACCGACUAAUGUUGAAAAAUUAGCGGAUGACUUGUGGCUGGGGGUGAAAGGCCAAUCAAACCGGGAGAUAGCUGGUUCUCCCCGAAAGCUAUUUAGGUAGCGCCUCGUGAAUUCAUCUCCGGGGGUAGAGCACUGUUUCGGCAAGGGGGUCAUCCCGACUUACCAACCCGAUGCAAACUGCGAAUACCGGAGAAUGUUAUCACGGGAGACACACGGCGGGUGCUAACGUCCGUCGUGAAGAGGGAAACAACCCAGACCGCCAGCUAAGGUCCCAAAGUCAUGGUUAAGUGGGAAACGAUGUGGGAAGGCCCAGACAGCCAGGAUGUUGGCUUAGAAGCAGCCAUCAUUUAAAGAAAGCGUAAUAGCUCACUGGUCGAGUCGGCCUGCGCGGAAGAUGUAACGGGGCUAAACCAUGCACCGAAGCUGCGGCAGCGACACUGUGUGUUGUUGGGUAGGGGAGCGUUCUGUAAGCCUGUGAAGGUGUGCUGUGAGGCAUGCUGGAGGUAUCAGAAGUGCGAAUGCUGACAUAAGUAACGAUAAAGCGGGUGAAAAGCCCGCUCGCCGGAAGACCAAGGGUUCCUGUCCAACGUUAAUCGGGGCAGGGUGAGUCGACCCCUAAGGCGAGGCCGAAAGGCGUAGUCGAUGGGAAACAGGUUAAUAUUCCUGUACUUGGUGUUACUGCGAAGGGGGGACGGAGAAGGCUAUGUUGGCCGGGCGACGGUUGUCCCGGUUUAAGCGUGUAGGCUGGUUUUCCAGGCAAAUCCGGAAAAUCAAGGCUGAGGCGUGAUGACGAGGCACUACGGUGCUGAAGCAACAAAUGCCCUGCUUCCAGGAAAAGCCUCUAAGCAUCAGGUAACAUCAAAUCGUACCCCAAACCGACACAGGUGGU
rnacentral:rRNA from 1 species